GGUUAAGCGACUAAGCGUACACGGUGGAUGCCCUGGCAGUCAGAGGCGAUGAAGGGCGUGCUAAUCUGCGAUAAGCGCCGGUAAGGUGAUAUGAACCGUUAUAACCGGCGAUACCCGAAUGGGGAAACCCAGUGUGACUCGUCACACUAUCAUUAACUGAAUCCAUAGGUUAAUGAGGCGAACCGGGGGAACUGAAACAUCUAAGUACCCCGAGGAAAAGAAAUCAACCGAGAUUCCCCCAGUAGCGGCGAGCGAACGGGGAGGAGCCCAGAGCCUGAAUCAGCAUGUGUGUUAGUGGAAGCGUCUGGAAAGGCGCGCGAUACAGGGUGACAGCCCCGUACACAAAAGCGCAUGUGCUGUGAGCUCGAUGAGUAGGGCGGGACACGUGGUAUCCUGUCUGAAUAUGGGGGGACCAUCCUCCAAGGCUAAAUACUCCUGACUGACCGAUAGUGAACCAGUACCGUGAGGGAAAGGCGAAAAGAACCCCGGCGAGGGGAGUGAAAAAGAACCUGAAACCGUGUACGUACAAGCAGUGGGAGCACAGGUUUACCUGUGUGACUGCGUACCUUUUGUAUAAUGGGUCAGCGACUUAUAUUCUGUAGCAAGGUUAACCGAAUAGGGGAGCCGGAGGGAAACCGAGUCUUAAUUGGGCGUUAAGUUGCAGGGUAUAGACCCGAAACCCGGUGAUCUAGCCAUGGGCAGGUUGAAGGUUGGGUAACACUAACUGGAGGACCGAACCGACUAAUGUUGAAAAAUUAGCGGAUGACCUGUGGCUGGGGGUGAAAGGCCAAUCAAACCGGGAGAUAGCUGGUUCUCCCCGAAAGCU
rnacentral:rRNA from 1 species